AGCUACAUCUGAUUACUGGGUCUC
rnacentral:miRNA from 3 species